rnacentral:rRNA from 1 species
AGGGGACCUUCGGGCCUUUCGCUAACAGAUGAGCCUGCGUUGGAUUAGCUAGUUGGUGGGGUAAGGGCCCACCAAGGCGACGAUCCAUAGCUGGUCUGAGAGGACGAUCAGCCACACUGGGACUGAGACACGGCCCAGACUCCUACGGGAGGCAGCAGUGGGGAAUAUUGGACAAUGGGCGCAAGCCUGAUCCAGCAAUACCGCGUGUGUGAAGAAGGCCCUAGGGUUGUAAAGCACUUUCAAUUGGGAGGAAAACCCACCGGCCAAUACCCGGUGGCUUGACAUUACCUUUAGAAGAAGCACCGGCUAACUCCGUGCCAGCAGCCGCGGUAAUACGGAGGGCGCGAGCGUUAAUCGGAAUUACUGGGCGUAAAGCGUGCGUAGGCGGCCCGUUAAGUCAGAUGUGAGAGCCCCGGGCUCAACCUGGGAACUGCAUUUGAAACUGGCGGGCUAGAGUUUGGUAGAGGGGAGUGGAAUUUCAGGUGUAGCGGUGAAAUGCGUAGAUAUCUGAAGGAACACCAGUGGCGAAGGCGGCUCCCUGGACCAGAACUGACGCUGAGGUACGAAAGCGUGGGUAGCAAACAGGAUUAGAUACCCUGGUAGUCCACGCCGUAAACGAUGUCAACUAGC